GACCUCCAUGAAAUGUAGGUUGGUUGUGACUAAUUGUGAGAGACUCCAUUUUUCUAUUAAAUUCAUGACACUAGUACUAGACUAGAAGAUGAAACAUAGAAUAUAUAUAAAUGGAGAGCUUUAUGUAUAUAUAUAUGUAUGGAUGGACUGAGUCAGUGGGGGAGAAAAUUCUAGCACGCCUGCCUAGAAGAAUGUUUGGGUCCCUCCAAAAAAGGCCAAAGAGAGGUAAACUGAAAAUUCUUUAAUCCCAUUUGCUCUUCAUUCUCUCUUCCACUCUUGGAUUAAUUUUGCCUAAUUAAUCCUCCAUCUAAUUAGUCUCCCAAAUGAAUUCUGAUUUCGGUCUCCGUAGAUCUGAGAGUUGAAAUUAAUAAGUAAAUUUUGUUGGAAAUAUGCUUACAACUCUUUUGAAGAACAUGCAACACUGACUGUGAUGGGAGAAAGAUACGAGUCAAGACCAUGAUGAAAGCUGCUAAAAUGGUGAAGCUCUUGGUGAAGCUUAUACUCACAUCUUUUUCUACCUCUGAAUCCAUGUAUUUUACGAAAACUCUUUUGAAGCCAGCCUGAAAUGAGCUUCAAACCGUGGAGAAUGAUAAGCUUUUACAAGGAGGAAUAAAGAGAAGAUAAAACAAAGGAAACAUUUGUAUCCUAUUUGUUAGUUCUCUAGAGAACUCCAAACAAAGUGAAAAGGAAAAAAAAAAGAAAAAAAAAGAUGAAAAAGUGGAAAAGAAAUUAACUUCUUGAAGAUGAUCUCCAUUGUUGUUCUUCUUCUUCCUUAAUUCUCUACCAUGAUCCUCCUCCUCCUCCUCCUCCUCCUCUUCCUCCUCCUCCACCAAACAUGCCAUUAUUCCAGUAUGCAGCAGUAGCUGGACUCCCUUGUCCCUUAUUAUUACCACUACAAUCAUGAUCAACUCCAGUGCUUGUUGUGGCUGGGAGCUGUUUCACUUCUCCAAAAGGAAACAAAACCCUUCCGGUAGUACUCAUAUUCUGCUGAGGAUCAACCCCAUGUAGAUGAGCAGAAAAACUGAGGUGGGGUACUUUGAAUUCUUGCAGAGGAAACCCUGAUGUGAAUAGGGUGCUUGAUGAAUCCGGCAUCGGUGCUGGGACAAAGGAACUCAACCCCCUGGAAGUGAUCCCAGUCUUGAGAAGCUCCAAGGCUGAAAGAUGAGAUAAAGUGGAGGAAGAAGAAGAAGAGGAAGAAGAAGAGCAGUUGUUGUUCUCGAUUUUGGGCACUUCAGCAAACUGAGAGAUGCCAUGGUAGUACUGUGGAAGUGGAAAAGCCAAGUUGAGAUCAUGGGGUUCAUGGAUCCUAGGGUUUUCAGAGGAAAAGUGGGAGAGAAUUGGAGGGUUCAGAUCAGGAAGAUGGGUUUUGAAUGAGGAUGAAGAUGUCAAUGAAGAAGAUAAAGAAGAAGAAGUAGUAAUAGAUCUCUUGUUCUUCCUUGAACCUCCUCCAACAGGGACAUUCCUCAGAGUUCCUCCUUCAGUCCAAUACCUUCUACAAGUUUUGCAGAAGUACCUUGGCUGAGUGAGACUAUAGUUGUUGUAGUAACAGAACUUGGUGUUGGUUGAGCUACAUCUUGGACAAUUCACAGCCUGAUCCUUCUGGGGCCUUGCCUUCCUCUCCAACACAGGCUUAGAACAAGUAUGAUCAGAGUUUAUCGAAAUCGAUAUCGCCUCUUCCAUGUCCUUGGCUUCUCCGAUACUAUUCUCCU